UGAAAAUAAGUGCAAAAUGCAAAAUUUCUUCACAUAGAAGUGACCACACCAGUACAGUGGCUGAAUGAUGAUGAUUAGGUUGGGCCUUUUCAUUUGAACGUUGCAGCAGCCACUACAGCCCCUUCCUGCCGCCUUACUGUCGCCCUAACCAUUGUCAUGGAGACCAUAGCAACAGCAGCAGGGGAGAAUUCCCGUGUUGCUGGAGGUGAUGGCACAGAGCAGCCGAGGCAACCCACCAAUCCUGAGAGAGACAAAGACUGAUCCUACUGGCUGCCUUACAGAACAUCAGUCAAACCGAGCUUUGUUAGCGCUGCAUUCCUCCAUGCUGUCCUCCUGUUUUCACUCCUUAAUCAAAAAAAGUUAAUUACUUUUAUAUCUCAGAACCCCCCUCACGUUUGCUUCAUCAAGUAAAAUGCUCCUCCUCCCGUCUCCCUAUUUAUUGUAAUGGGAACAUAUUAAUUAAGGGGCAUCACUAUUAGAAAAGUUGCUUUUUCCUCAGUUGAAUUUCUGAAUGGUCCAUAUUGUUUUCAAUGAAUGUAGAAAUUAUGGCCUUUAAUUAGCGUUUUUCACACAAUCUCAGUGUUUUAAUUGGGCUGAAAGAGACACUCGGACAGACAGGAGGACAGAGGACAAUGACUGAUCUCCAAGCUGCCUAAAAAAACAUUAUUCAAACAGAACAAGGUUGACUGUGUGUGUCUUUGCACUUUUCUCCAGAAAUUAUGCUAAUUACAUAUUUGUCACGCAUGUAA